rnacentral:lncRNA from 1 species
UAUGUGAAGAAACCAGUUUGGGUAUAGUUGGUUAUGGUUUUAAACGGUUUGGUUAUUAGCGGUUAUAAACUAUGGGUCCAAACCGGUUUCUAGGCAUUGGUUAUAUCAACUACGAUCGAAAACGAGUAUCUUUGGUCCGUGUGCAUGCUGUAAUGCACUAUGUAAAUAUGUAUUAUGGGGAAACAACAGAUGAAAAUCGAAAGUGUUUUCUUGUACUUUCGCUAAGCAAUUUGGUUUUAAUAUACUUGUUAGUGAGCUUAUCAACCAUGGGCAUGUUCUAUUUGCCUCUUACUGUGUGUUGACUGUAUCUCAAGGAUUACUUUGUUUCUAAACUGUUGUAGAUGCACUUAUGCCUUUUCUAUCUUAUUUGUUG